CAUUGUUACGCACAGACACGAAGCACUGUGUUAAUGGUUAAAUCGUGAUUGAACGGUUCCUGCCAAAGUGUCAGUAAUGAAAAAAAAAGAAAAAAAAGUCAACUUGGGAAAGCUCGGCAGCACCUUUAAAUUUAUUCGAGUAUAACUAAACCGACAGUAAAGUAAAACACAUGUGGCACAGAGUGAAUGUCUAAAAUGCGUAAAAAUUUUAAUUGAAUUGCACCUAAAAUUGAGUAGAAUGAAAGUGAAAGUAUUAACUCGAAAUCCUGACGAAUACCUCAGGGAGACUAAAAGAGAUAUUCAUAGAGUUCCCCGAAAUUAUGAUCCAUCGUUGCAUCCAUUUGAGGCAGCACGGGAGUACACUCGAGCCCUAAAUGCUGUAAAACUGGAUCGAGUGUUUGCCAAGCCCUUUAUUGGAAAUUUGGAAGGCCACAAAGAUGGAGUUUCUGCUAUUUGUAAACAUCCUGCCAAGCUUUCUGUCAUCGUUAGUGGAUCAUGUGACGGGGAAGUUAAAAUAUGGGAUUUGCCACAAAGAAUUUGUUAUCGCUCUAUUCUUGCACACGAUGGGAUCCUUCGAGCAAUUACAUUUAGCAAUGAUGCUGAGAAUUUCAUCACCGUCGGUGAUGACAAAAUGAUAAAAACGUGGAGAUUUCAUACGGAUGCAGAAAGUCAGGAGGAUUUGCCAAUAAACACAAUUAUUAGUAAGAACAUCAUCUCUUCCAUUUCGCAUCACCGUCGGAAACCUGAGUUCGUAACAUGUGGUGAGGUCUGCCAAUUGUGGGAAGAAACUCGAAAUGAACCUAUAAAAACUUUUAAGUGGGGAGUGGACAGCCUACACCACGUUGCAUACAACUUAGUUCAAUCGAAUUUACUCGCUGCAUGUGCAAGUGAUCGGAGUAUUAUUCUGUACGAUACGAGGGAUACGGGACCAUUACGCAAAGUUACCCUGAAGUUAAGAACAAAUAAAUUAGCGUGGAACCCAAUGGAAGCCUACACAUUCACCUCCGCUAAUGAAGAUUACAACCUCUACACGUUUGAUAUAAGGAAACUAAAGACUCCAGUUAAUGUUCAUAUGGACCAUGUGGGUGCAGUUACCGACGUUGAUUACUCUCCAACUGGAAAAGAAUUCGUCUCAGGAAGUUAUGACAAGUCAUUGAGAAUAUUUGAAGUUAAUAAAGGUCAUUCUCGAGAUAUAUAUCAUACAAAACGAAUGCAGAGACUCACUAACAUUGCUUGGUCUCUUGAUGACAAAUACAUUAUCAGUGGCAGUGACGAAAUGAAUAUUCGAGUGUGGAAGGCCCGAGCGUCAGAAAAAUUGGGAGUGUUAAAACCCAGGGAGAGAGCUGCUCUAAAUUAUAAUUCUACGUUGAAGGAAAAGUUCGCAGGACAUCCUCAAAUAAGGAGAAUUGCUCGACACAGACAAGUACCUAAACACAUCUACAACGCUCAAGAUGAAUUAAGAACAAUUCGUAAUAAGCGAAAAACAAAGGAGGCUAAACGUCGCGCGCAUUCUCGUCCUGGCAGUGUUCCAUACGUAUCGGAACGAAAAGCACAUGUUGUUGAAGAUAAAACAGAUUAAUAAGUACAAGGAAUAAACAAAUUUAUUCUCGUAUGAUAUGAAAUACAUUGACAUUAAAUUUACGCUGAAGGCUGACGGGUAAACCCUAAUAGAAAAAAACCCUUGUCUAGGUACAGUCGUAUCAUCUACGAGACUGGUACCGGCGUUCUUCGAGGCUUGUCAUCGUUAUCGAUUAUUCGCAAUGUAAUGAAUUAAAUCAUUUUAUUGAGACGAGUGGAUGUAAUAAAUAAUUUUAUUAUUGAAAUUUUA